ACGAACGCUGGCGGCAUGCCUAAUACAUGCAAGUCGAGCGAACAGAUGAAGUGCUUGCACUUCUGACGUUAGCGGCGAACGGGUGAGUAACACGUAAGGAAUCUACCUAUAAGCGGGGGAUAACAUUCGGAAACGGGUGCUAAUACCGCAUAAUAUYUUCUUCCGCAUGGAAGAARAUUGAAAGACGGCUCUGCUGUCACUUAUAGAUGACCUUGCGGUGCAUUAGUUAGUUGGUGGGGUAAUGGCCUACCAAGACGAUGAUGCAUAGCCGACCUGAGAGGGUGAUCGGCCACAUUGGGACUGAGACACGGCCCAAACUCCUACGGGAGGCAGCAGUAGGGAAUCUUCCGCAAUGGGCGAAAGCCUGACGGAGCAAUGCCGCGUGAGUGAAGAAGGCCUUCGGGUCGUAAAACUCUGUUAUAAGAGAAGAACAAAUUGUAGAGUAACUGCUACAGUCUUGACGGUAUCUUAUCARAAAGCCACGGCUAACUACGU
rnacentral:rRNA from 1 species